GACGGAGAAUGCAAGCGUUAUCCGGAAUUAUUGGGCGUAAAGCGUCCGCAGGUGGCUGUUCAAGUCUGCUGUCAAAGCGCAGAGCUUAACUCUGUACAGGCGGUGGAAACUGAAGAGCUAGAGUAUGGUAGGGGUAGAGGGAAUUCCCGGUGUAGCGGUGAAAUGCGUAGAUAUCGGGAAGAACACCAGUGGCGAAGGCAGCCCCCUGGGAUAACACUGACGCUCAUGCACGAAAGCGUGGGGAGCAAACAGG
rnacentral:rRNA from 1 species